AAGCGGCCGCGGCACUUCCGGCGCCGAAGCCCCGCCCCCCGGCGCCGAGCCGCCCGCGGGACCGCGAUGCCGCGCUAUUACGAGGACAAGCCGGAGGAGGAGGGCGCCUGCGCGGGGGUCCGGGAGGACCUGGGCCUCUGCCUGCUGCAGUCCGACUGCGUGCUCAAGGAAGGGAAGAGCCCCCGGCAGUGCCUGAAGGAAGGAAACUGCAAGGCCCUGAAAGUGUCGUUUUUCGAGUGUAAGAGAUCGAUGGUGCCGCGGAGUCGACCGUCCCCUGAGGAGACGCGGCGUCCGGCCUCGGUCCCCGGCGGCCGGCCCUAGGCGGGGAGACGUCGGCCGGCCUCGGCGGGGUCACCGCGGACCGUCCCCAUCGCGACCGGGCCCGCCGCCGGGCCGGAUCGUCCCCUCCGGGCGCUUGGCAGGGCGCCCCGCACACGGGCGGCCCCUCCCGACGGCGCCGACCCGGGAGGGAGAGACGAGGCGGGAAGCGGGAUUUCGGCCGGGCCGUCCCCGGCUUCCCGGGAGGGGAGCGGUCGGCCCGGAGGGAGACGCCGGGCGUAUGCCCCGCCGCCGGCCCCCGCCGGCGCCGGCU